rnacentral:rRNA from 6 species
UUUUACCAGAAGUGGCUAGUCUAACCGCAAGGAGGACGGUCACCACGGUAGGAUUCAUGACUGGGGUGAAGUCGUAACAAGGUAGCCGUAUCGGAAGGUGCGGCUGGAUCACCUCCUUUCCAG